AAUCGACAAAUUUCGAAAGAGACUAACCACAUCACGUGAAGAACGGAACCCCCAAAUGGGUACCCGGAUAGUCUAACCAUGGUUUAACCCAUUAAAUGCAGGAAAUAUUUUUCGUCAGCACUGUAGUCGGUGCAACUUUUGUAGUAGUACACGUCGUCUACAUCCACCAGCCAUUGCCGAGAUUUGAACUUGGAUCGCCUCAUUGUUAUGCUAGCGCAAUAGGCUCAAUGGUUGCUUAUUAUCGCAAUUCGUUCUUUAAACGCAAAAACUAUAAAACAAUGUAUUAACUUAAUGCUCCAUACCGAAGAAACAUAAAUUUCGUUUCAGCUUCUUGUAAGGGAGAAAAAAGGGUGAAAACUUUCUUUUGUAGCAGAAAACUUAUUUCUAUGGCUACAUUAGAUCCUCCCCCUGACACGCCACCGCAGAUUAAUGUCGGAAGAAAUUGUUAUUUAUUGCUUACAGAUCCACCUCCUCAACACAGAUAUCUCUUUGACCACUGUAUCUUCUUAAGCAAUAAUCAUUCUCAUAAG